CAAUGAAGGAAGCAUGGUAAUGUGCAUAUAAAUUGAUUUGGGUUUCUAGGCCUGCCCUCUCUGAUGCCAUUUGGCUUUGAUUCGGGGGCAUGGUUCCGUAGCAAAACA